rnacentral:misc_RNA from 1 species
UUUCCGUAGGUGAACCUGCGGAAGGAUCAUUCAUAAUAAGUGUUUUAUGGCACUUUUUUAAAUCCAUAGCCACCUUGUGUGCAAUGUCAGGGUUGAUUUUUCUCUCUAGAGUAACAACUACCAUCAUAAACUAUAUCACAACUCUUUGUCUGAAAAAUCGUAUGAAUAACCCAAUUCAAGAUACAACUCUCAACAACGGAUCUCUUUGCUCCAGCCUCGAUGAAAAACGCAGG